rnacentral:snRNA from 1 species
AUGCUCUUUGGCAGCACAUAUACUAAAAUUGAAAUGAGAUAGAGAAGAUUAAUGUGGCACCUGCACAA